CACGUAGGGUGCGAGCGUUGUCCGGAAUUAUUGGGCGUAAAGAGCUCGUAGGCGGUGUGUCGCGUCGGCCGUGAAAACCUGCAGCUUAACUGUGGGCGUGCGGUCGAUACGGGCAUCACUGGAGUUCGGCAGGGGAGACUGGAAUUCCUGGUGUAGCGGUGAAAUGCGCAGAUAUCAGGAGGAACACCGGUGGCGAAGGCGGGUCUCUGGGCCGACACUGACACUGAGAGACGAAAGCUAGGGGAGCAAAUGGG
rnacentral:rRNA from 1 species